UGAUCCUGGCUCAGAUUGAACGCUGGCGGAAUGCUUUACACAUGCAAGUCGAACGGCAGCAUAGAGAGCUUGCUCUCUGAUGGCGAGUGGCGAACGGGUGAGUAAUAUAUCGGAACGUGCCUAGUAAUGGGGAAUAACUAGCUGAAAGGUUAGCUAAUGCCGCAUACGACCUACGGGUGAAAGCAGGGGAUCUUCGGACCUUGCGUUAUUAGAGCGGCCGAUAUCUGAUUAGCUUGUUGGUGGGGUAAUGGCCUACCAAGGCGACGAUCAGUAGCUGGUCUGAGAGGACGAUCAGCCACACUGGAACUGAGACACGGUCCAGACUCCUACGGGAGGCAGCAGUGGGGAAUUUUGGACAAUGGGGGCAACCCUGAUCCAGCCAUUCCGCGUGAGUGAAGAAGGCCUUCGGGUUGUAAAGCUCUUUCGCAAGAGAAGAAAACUUGCUAUCUAAUAAAUAGUAAGUAUGACGGUAUCUUGACAAGAAGCACCGGCUAACUACGUGCCAGCAGCCGCGGUAAUACGUAGGGUGCAAGCGUUAAUCGGAAUUACUGGGCGUAAAGCGUGCGCAGGCAGUUUUAUAAGUCAGAUGUGAAAUCCCCGAGCUCAACUUGGGAACUGCGUUUGAAACUAUAAGACUAGAGUGUGUCAGAGGGGGGUAGAAUUCCAAGUGUAGCAGUGAAAUGCGUAGAGAUUUGGAGGAAUACCAAUGGCGAAGGCAGCCCCCUGGGAUAACACUGACGCUCAUGCACGAAAGCGUGGGGAGCAAACAGGAUUAGAUACCCUGGUAGU
rnacentral:rRNA from 1 species